rnacentral:pre_miRNA from 1 species
AUGAAAAAUUUGAAGACCUCAACUUGCAGACUUGAAGAAUUUGAAGACCUCAACUUACAGACUUGAAGAAUUUGAAGACUUCAACU